AGGCUUUUACAUUCUUCUUCAGCUAAGGAAACUGUAGUUAUCUCCCUUAUUGUUGAAUAAUCAUUCAACAUGGCUGACAAAGAUUUAGAAGACACAACAUGUGUUCAGAGAACCUGUAAAAAGAUUAUCUAUGAAUCAAACAUGAAUGCCAAAUGGUAUCAACUGGUAUUGGAUAGGAUUGUGAUUCUGCCAGAUUUUAUGUAACAUUGCUGAAAUCGGUAGAGUAAUUGUAAAGAAAGCAACUCUUGUCAUACACCAGCUUACAACAACAGAUGACAUGGCCAACUCGCACUUCCCCAGACAACCAAGAUGGCGACCAUUGGUGACUACCGCCAGAAUGAAUGUGACCUUUGGCGGGAAAAUACUGCAACAAUCAACAUCUUUUUUACCAUACAAUUUCCUAAAAACAACAAGAAAAAAAAAUUGUACAAAAAAACAAAACAGAAAAAAGAUAGCACAAGUAUCCUCAAAAUCGACAAGUUUCGAAGAUGAUAUAAAAAAAACCAAGAUCAUUGUAAUUGGGGCAAAGUCGGAUUGGAUAUCAAUCAAACAAAAAGUUUUUAAAAUUCAAUGCAUAAUAUAUACUGAGCUUGGUUACACUGUUAUGUUUUAAAACAGUCACAAUGUGUUUAAAUAUGCUGACUACUCUAGACAUACUUAGUGACGUAUUUUAAAAUAAUGUCUGAACUGUCUUUAUCUGGUCGAUUCAAAGGCAUGUUUUGUCUGUCUGGUUUAAAUAUAGUUAUAAAACAUGUAGAAUAUUUACCUAUCGCUGUGCAUACACACAAAUGAUACACUCCAGUGCUCACCAAUGUGCAUUCAAUAUGUGCAAUCAAAUGCAGAUGACAGUGCAUUUCCAUUCGAGACAUUUACAGAUUUUCACACGGUUUGAGGUGCAUGUUCCAAUUAGUUAUUCAGUUUACAUUGCUUGGCAUAGCACUUGCCUAAAAAAUGUUUUAAUUAUGACACUGGAUCCUUGAACAAAUGAAAUGAAAAAUAUCUCGUCACAAUGAGAUAUCUGAGUUCCUUGGUCAUCAAGUAGACCUUCAAAAAAAUCUACAGUACGUUCCCGCCCACUGUUUUUGCGCCAAUAUUAUUGGGCUGUGUCGUGACACAGUAGCUAUUUUCUCCUUGAAAUAUAUACCCAAAUUUGUGAUGCACACGGUGCAUAUUCAGUUGAACAAGAUGCAUAAUGCGCAUGCGCUUUUGUCAUAUUCUAAAGAAAUUUAAAUUUUGCGUUUAAACUUUAUUUUAAAAUUACAUUUAACUAAAUAUUUGUUAGUAAACUGUUAACAUCAGGAAAUAACACAGUCAGGUUUCACCAAGCUACACACGUUCACACAGUUUAUCCGCCAUAUUGCUUUCUUUUUUUCUCAUAAUGUCUGUCCUGCCAUUUUAAAUUUUUUCAUUGGUUCUUUUUUAGCAUAUUAAAAUGACUUUGCUAACUCUUAAAGAUACUCAAAAAGACAAAAUGGUGUACAAUGAUGUUGAUUAUAUCAAGUUUUAACCUACAUGCAUAUUUCUUUCUAUUUUUUUUAGUUUUUAAACAAAACCACAAUGAAUCUGCAAUGCUUCUGUGAUUGAAAAUAAGAUUAAAUUUCAGUAACUCUUGUUAAAAUAAGUUUUAACAACAGAUGCAGAAUUUACGUAAGCUUACUUAUGAACAAACUUAUUGUACUAAGACAGAUAUAUUAACAUGCACUAAAUGUUUUUUCACCUUUUGCAGGUUGCAAUCCUAAAGGGGAAACGACUCUUACCAGCUUGUAAAACACAGCACCAGUCAAAUAAUGUAGGGCGUGCUAACAAGAGUUAGUGUAUGAUGUCAUAGAUUAGUCUGUGUCUGGUUUAUAUGUAAAGUAGCAAGGAACUUUACCUGUUUCAUACUUGACAGAACACACAUUGUACAAAUAAAUGCUAUAUAUAAAUUAAAACGGAUGUUAGAAUCAUCGAUCAGUAUUAUUUAAAAUAAAAACAUACAGAAACAACAUCUAGACAAUAAAGAAAAUAAUAGAUAAAAAAAAUGCCUACCCUUUAACUGGCCUCAAAAAUUGACACAUUUAAAAGAUAUAAAGGUGAUGCAUAAAGUGUCUCGUCACUGUAAUACACACUGGUGCACAUACACAUGUCCCGCCAGAACAAGUCUUAGGUCAGACUGCACAAGAAAUAAAGGAUUUUAAAUCCAUGGUUUCCAUUGGAAGUUAAAAAUGAGGCGGCACACCCAUUCACAAUAAAUUCCUUCAUUGGCUCAUUUAUAUAAAAACAAAUGCAUCGUCAAUAUGACACCAUGUUGUAGAUAAAAAAUAGUCAAACACUAAAAUUAAAGUGCGAGAUUAACAAAACCUGAUUGUUAUGUACCAUGCAGUGGAUUAUAUCGAACCUUACAAACAUUCUAUGCCUACACACUCUACCAGAGACAUCAUGUACAACAAUCUCUUUUUGAGCUUACUGACCUCCUUGAUAAAAGAGUUCAUAUCCAAGGGAAAAUUUUCGUCGCUCACUUUUUGGCGGGAAUUAUUUUGGCGCGAAAAAUUAAAAAGUGAAUUAUUCAUUUGUUGGAUUUAUUGUGAUUCCACAUAUAUAUUUGGAAAAUAAUUUUUAAGUGUGUUUGUUAUAUUAAUUUAAAAAGAUUUUACAGAUUGGAAUUUUUCACUUUUCAGUGGAUUACAAGAAUUAGUUAUUCCAAAAGGAAAUUUCUGGAAUACCAGUAUGUUUUCAGAUCACAUGUAUUAAAAGUCAAAUUUUUUGUUUA